rnacentral:rRNA from 1 species
UACGUAGGGCGCAAGCGUUGUCCGGAAUUAUUGGGCGUAAAGAGCUCGUAGGCGGUCUGUCGCGUCGGUUGUGAAAACACAAGGCUCAACCUUGUGCCUGCAAUCGAUACGGGCAGACUAGAGUACUGCAGGGGGAGACUGGGAAUUCCUGGUGUAGCGGUGGAAUGCGCAGAUAUCAGGAGGAACACCGGUGGCGAAAGGCGGGGUCUCUGGGGCAGUAACUACGCUGAGGAGCGAAAAGCGUGGGGGAGCAAAACAGGG